ACCUUGUCCUUGUGUCAAUACUGAGCAUUAGCUGUGCCUUCUUGACUGCCACAGUUCAGGAUCAGCUUGAGGAAAGCCACCAGUGCUCAGGUUCACUGAAUGACAUGGACUGGACACACAGGCAGUGUCUUGGGCAGCAUUCUCAUUUUGAUACCUCUAAAACAACGACCACCAAACAGGAAAGAGAGGAGCGAGAUGAAUCACAAUGUUGUAUUUGCUUGUAUUGUCCACAUGGGCUGCUGCUGAGUUGGCAGGAAGGAAGAGGAUGGAAAACAAACCAGGACAAAAGUGAAAAAGGGUGAGAAGUACCUCAAUAUCGUGUUUCCAUCUACUUAUGAGAUGUAUACGUGUGCCUUGUUAGCAAUGAUCUUGUAAAGCAAAAGCUGAAGUUUUCAUAUCGGAGGAAACGUAUAUUGUUAAAUGAGCUGAGAACAUUCUCCCAAGGCUGUUCCAUUGCAAACUGUUACUGCUGGUCAGAAAACCAAAUAUCUAUUCUCCAGAGUUGGCUAUGUGCUCGAAUGUUUGAAGAUUUGGUUUCUUUUAUAACUUGAAUGCAAGGAAUUCUCCCCCUCCUACAUCUGAA